UAUGAAAAAGAAAUUAUACAAUACCUGAAAGAUUCAAUAAAAAAAAAAGAUGUAUAUCAGUUUAUUUGCUUGUGAGCGUCUGAUUUUGGUUCUGUUGACCCUUAGAGUGAGACGGAUCAAAAUGUAGACAUUUACAAGCAGACAUGGCCUUCUGUUGACCUUAAGGGUGAGACAGAAGAUGGUCAAACACUAGCCAAGUCAUUCAUUUUGCUUGCACAAACUGUACAGUAUUGGGACGAUUUGUUGAUCCUUGUCACCCACGUCUCUUACAGUAAUUGUGUAAUCCCCCAAUUCAUCUUUACAGUAAGAUAGAAAUUAUUUUUUCCUAAAGUAGGCGGCAGUUUUUGAACCUGCUAUAACAUUUCAAGUUUUACCCAUUAUGGCACUACUAAGAAGGAAAGAGUUUAAGUUAAAUUUCAUUGUAAUAAUCUCUUAGUAUAUUUCUUGAUGAUAACAGGAUUUCAUAAUGAGCUUCAGUAGCAAAAAAGGGGAAAAAAAGUUAUUUUUCCUUAAGUUUGACUGGACAUAAAAACAUUGAAUCUAACUAGUUGCUGGGUCUUGCAGCUAACCGUGUGUCUUAUCAUUCCUUUUCAUUUAUUUAUUAACACAAUGUAUGUGCUCACCCAAAGUUUGGUUCUUAUCAUCUGCAGUUUAUGAGAUUGGCAUUUUUUAAAAUGAAACUGUAUGUGUGUUUCAUCUCAUUUAAGAUAAAUUUAUGAUUUAAGUUGUAUCAUGUUAUUUUGUAUUGCAAUUAUUUCCAACUGGCUUACACUCAAGGAAGCUAUACUUGUUUGAUGUAUGGAUGACACAUAUUCAAUUUUGUAUCUUUAAGAUGGUUUUCUUUGUAUUGUAUGACAAUAUUUUCACUGUUACCAAACAAGUGCCCACAUCAAGGAAAUUAAGUGUGCAUUGAUAACCUUUUUUUUAUCCGUGGUAAUUUUGUACUAAGAAUUAUGCUCAGAAAGUUAUAACAGAAUUAAACAAGUUAAAAACAUAAGCAGGAUA